ACAAACUCACACUAACAGACACACACACACAGUCAGACACACACUCACUGACACACAGUCAGACACACACAUACACACUCACUAGCACACACUCACUAGCACACACACUCACAUUCACUGACAGAUCCGCAUACACUCGCUAACAGAAACACACACACUCACUGACACACACACACAGUCAGACACACACACACUCACUGACACACAGUCACACACACACACUAACAGACAAACAGUCAGACACACACACUAACAGACACACACUCACUAGCAGACACACACACAAACUCUCACACACUAAC